CAGUCGCCGCGGUAAUACGUAUGUCACGAGCGUUAUCCGGAUUUAUUGGGCGUAAAGCGCGUCUAGGUGGUUAUAUAAGUCUGAUGUGAAAAUGCAGGGCUCAACUCUGUAUUGCGUUGGAAACUGUAUAACUAGAGUACUGGAGAGGUAAGCGGAACUACAAGUGUAGAGGUGAAAUUCGUAGAUAUUUGUAGGAAUGCCGAUGGGGAAGCCAGCUUACUGGACAGAUACUGACGCUGAAGCGCGAAAGCGUGGGUAGCAAACAGGAUUAGAUACCCCGGUAGUCCCUGUCUCUUAUACA
rnacentral:rRNA from 1 species